GGAGGGGUGUCCGAGUGGCCUAAGGAGGCGGUCUCGAAAACCGUUGUGGGCGGCAACGUCCACCGUGGGUUCAAAUCCCACCCUCUCCGCCA
rnacentral:tRNA from 1 species